rnacentral:tRNA from 1 species
UGGCUCAGUGGUUAAGAGCACUGGUUGUUCUUCCAGAGGUUCUGAGUUCAAUUCUCAG